GUAUAAAUUGGCCUUGCUUGUAGUAUCUGGCAGAGAAGUAUCCUUAGCAUCCAUUUUUGCCUUCUGAUCUUAAGACAAAAGCUAUCAAUUUUCAGGAAAUCAUAAGAUAAAGAAUGAACACCCGGAUGAUAGCCAAUGUAUUGUCAAUGAUAGAGUGAAAUGCAUCUAAGGUCACCAGAACGGUUGGAGGAGUAGCUCGUCUUAGUUGAUCAACAAAAAGAGAAA